GCCGGGAGCAGUGGCGCGCUCCUGUAAUCUAGCUUCCCAGAGGCCUGGUCCCAGGGACGGCCGCGGUCGGGGGUUUGGGCCCCGCGCUGUGUCCGUGCCGACAGGGCGUCCGCGCUAAGCGGGGCGUCGGUAUGGCGGGCCCGGGGGAGCCCGGGGCGGCCAGGUCGCCUAAGGAGGAGCGCACCGGCCCAGGGCGGACACGCAGCAGGCAGAAGCUCCCGCGUCCCGCAGUAGCGGGAUCGCGCCCUGGAACGGGACACGCGGGGCUGCCCGGACCGGCUGUCCGGACCUGGACCUUU
rnacentral:SRP_RNA from 1 species